rnacentral:misc_RNA from 1 species
GUGGGAGGGGGCUUGCCCCCGAUAGCGGUGUAUCAGUCAAUAUCUUCAGUGACUGACCCACUGCAAUCGGGGGCAAGCCCCCUCCCAC